CAAAAAUAUCUAAGGAGGACUAUAGCUUUGGGGGUUGUGAGUGUAAGUAUAGAUUCUUACUUUUCUGA
rnacentral:tRNA from 1 species